UACAGAGGGUGCGAGCGUUAAUCGGAAUUACUGGGCGUAAAGCGUGCGUAGACGGCUAUUUAAGUCGGGUGUGAAAGCCCCGGGCUCAACCUGGGAAUUGCAUUCGAGACUGAAUAGCUAGGGUACGGUAGAGGGAAGCGGAAUUUCCGGUGUAGCGGUGAAAUGCGUAGAUAUCGGAAGGAACAUCAGUGGCGAAAGCGGCUUCCUGGACCAGUACCGACGUUCAGGCACGAAAGCGUGGGGAGCAAACAGG
rnacentral:rRNA from 1 species